CAGUCGCCGCGGUAACACGGAGGAUCCAAGCGUUAUCCGGAAUCAUUGGGUUUAAAGGGUCCGUAGGCGGUCUUGUAAGUCAGUGGUGAAAGCCCAUCGCUCAACGGUGGAACGGCCAUUGAUACUGCAGGACUUGAAUUAUUGGGAAGUAACUAGAAUAUGUAGUGUAGCGGUGAAAUGCUUAGAGAUUACAUGGAAUACCAAUUGCGAAGGCAGGUUACUACCAAUUGAUUGACGCUGAUGGACGAAAGCGUGGGUAGCGAACAGGAUUAGAUACCCGCGUAGUCCCUGUCUCUUAUAC
rnacentral:rRNA from 1 species